CAGCAGCCGCGGUAAUACGUAGGGUGCGAGCGUUAAUCGGAAUUACUGGGCGUAAAGCGUGCGCAGGCGGUUAUGUAAGACAGUUGUGAAAUCCCCGGGCUCAACCUGGGAACUGCAUCUGUGACUGCAUAGCUAGAGUACGGCAGAGGGGGGUGGAAUUCCACGUGUAGCAGUGAAAUGCGUAGAGAUGUGGAGGAACACCGAUGGCGAAGGCAGCCCCCUGGGCCAAUACUGACGCUCAUGCACGAAAGCGUGGGGAGCAAACAGGAUUAGAUACCCCCGUAGUCCCUGUCUCUUAUAC
rnacentral:rRNA from 1 species